UAUGGUUAGCAUUGAUUCAAAAUGAAUUUUCUCCUGAAACUAGAAAACACUGUUAAGGAUUUCCCCCACAACUCCAACCUACUGGGAAGUAUAGGUUAGUAAUUAACCACAAUGAGUCUUGAGUCCUGUCUCGGUCACUUGUCAUCUAUGUUGUCUUGGAUAAACGACUUAAUUUCUUAGACCUAAUGCGGAAGCUGAGGCUGUUCAGUGUACUUACUCCUUGGAUCGCAAUAUGAUUAAGUGAUCCAUGAAAUGCAAGAUGACCAGCAUAUGUUAAUGAUGUGAUCUCCCAGCUUCUGGAUCCUGCCAUCAUAGCUGCUCCUUGCUGCCAUGUGUCCCCUCCAUGAAAGACUUUUAUCCAUCUGAAACCACAACCCAGAAUAAUCUUUUCUGUAGCAGUUCACCAUAAGGAAACUCAGGACACCGUGGCAAGCAGGAACUGAAGCAGAGACUGAGAAGGAGCAUUCCUUAUUGGCUGGCUUCCUCUGGCUUACUCAGAUGCUUUGCUUAUAUAACCCAGAACACCCGCCCAGGGGUAGUACCACCCACAGUGGGAUGGAUCCUCCCACAGAAACCUGAACCAAGAAGAUGUCCCACAGACAGGGACAAAAGCAACCCAAUAUAACUCCUCAAUUCAUGUACCCUUUGGUCAGGUGACUCUAAUUUAGGUCAAGAUGACAAAAAAAAAUAUCUAAGCAUUAUACAUAUAAAUACUCAAUCAUUUUUAGUGCUUUCUUGCUGGAAAUCUUUCACAUUCUUCUAGCUGUUUUCUGUGAAGAUUUCUUCCUAGAAAUCCCUUUCAUGCCAAGUCUUUAUAACUGAUUAUUUACUAAAUGAUGUUUAUCCUUUCUGGAUGCAAAACUAAGAGCUGAAUAAAUGCUCUCUACAAUGUCUCCACGUCCUAGGAACCCAUGAGCCCAUUUUCUUGUCAUCCCUCCAUCCACUAUAAUCUUCUACUCUUUGACUUGAUUAUUCUGUUAGAGUCAACACACAGGUCAUCAAGGUCUACACUCAGAGUGAACUUUAACUCAUCUUCUCCUUCUUCCCUAUGCUCAUGAAGUCCUAGGAUCUGAAUUGCAACCAUAUUUUGUACAUCACACAGUGGCCUAGCCAUACUGAGGGAUGUUGACUAGAAUCUGGUGUUUCAUGUCAUGUGUUACAGUGCUGUGCUUCCACAAAAGCAAAGCAGAGAUUCUACACAUGUCACAGACACUGGGCAAAAUCUAAGGAGUGAUUCCUACCUUCUGACUGCAUUCGAAUAUUCAACCCUUUAAUCAUUGAAAGCUCCUUGCUGGGAAAGGGCCUGAAAGAUGUUCAAGAAAUGCUAAAUUUGAAAUAAUUAGAACCAAGUAUAAUGACAGGCAGAUGAAAAUAUCACAAUGUAAACCAUUAACUUUGUAUGUUAACAAAAAAUUAAUAAUAAGAAGAAAGUAAAUUUUGCAAAGCUUUGAAUAGAUCUCAUAAAUUGGUUAUAGUUCUUAGGAGACAGGAAGAUGACCUAGAAUUUUCCACACUCUAAGAGAUGUGCCUUGAGAAGCAUUGUGUAUCUCACAUGAAAUUGAAGGAGAUGGAAAUCAGACACGAAGCAAAAUUCCUUGCUUUGCUGUUCUCGGUCCCCUGGGUUUUCAAGGCUCAUGGUCAAAGUUUGAAGACUGAGAAAUGAAGUGGAAUGUCUGCAGUCCAGUUUAUCCACAUUGAUGCUUAAUCAGUUUCUAACAUCUAUAUUGUGAAAACAUUUUCUAGACUAAACUUGGGGGAUGAGAGAGCAGCCAGAGUUCAUUGUUCGCCUCAUUGCUCCAUCUAAGGGCUUAGGUGCAUCAGAGAGCAAUGGGUCAAGUAGAGGGUUACCUUCUGGUAACCAAGGUCUAAGUCUCUCCAUUUCAGGUGAUCUACCUUGACCAUAUCUCCCAACAGGUCAUAUUUCAACAGACCUGGUGCCCUUGGAAGCUUGUCCUGUGGUGCCUCUUCUGUGGUGUACAAAGAGUUCCUUGGCAGGCUUUCUCUGGGAACUUGAAGACAUGUGUGACCAACUCAUUGCUCCAAAAUUCUGGUUUUAGGACAUAGGGUCAAAGUUUGGGAGUCUGGGGACCUGGGUAGUGUUGUGAAACACAAACUUCAGUCUUAUUCUCUUGCUAUCGCCUCCGAUUAUCUGCUGCUGGGGCUCACUACGUAGGCCUGAUGGAGGCAACUCCUCAUCCCGUUUUUUGUUGCAGGGGUGUCUCAGAAGGUAUGGAGCUGGCGGCCAGCUGCAUCCAGAGAUUCUCAGCAUCUAUUACAGAGUGUUCCUGGGCUGUGUCUUCAUUUUGCAGGGCUUUCUCAUAACUUUCAGUUCUAAGAGAGGCUGUUAAUUGGGAGAAACUUGGCAGGACAGGAUGUAAAUAUUUGCCUAUUACAUUGCUGGAGUCCUGGUUCUACAGGGUUGGGGCUUUGGAGGUGGACACUUGUGACAACAAAAACAAUAAAAAUACUAAUUAAAAUAAGGAAAACAUUUGGAAUGUGCUUUCCCAGGGUCCUGAUGUAUAUAAGCUGCUUGCCAUAUUUAUGUUAUGAAAUUCUUUGCAAAGAUACUAUAAUAGGCUAUACUCUAAUUUGUUAUUAUUAACUUCAUGUUUUUUUAAUACAAAAAUUUGAUGCUUAGGCAUGAGAAUCCUUUCUACGGUCACACAGCUACACUAUGGCGAAGGGUCAAAAGAUAGGAUCUUAUGCUAUCUUUCUUUCAAUUACUGCUCUACUUAAAAGGUCUCUUGACAUUGUCCUGGACCCUUAGCUGUGGCUCACCAGCUGUGUGUUAGGCACAAGAUGCUUCAGAUUUUUCUCAUGCAAUCAAAACCAGAAGUUUGAGAGUGAGUUGGGAGGUUGGGAGUAGAGGGAGUACAAAUGAUGUAAAUACAGACUCGUGUGAAAUUCUGCCACCCCACCACCAAAAAAAAAAAAAAUCAAGUUAUAAAAAAGAGAAUCUCUCUCAUCUCAUAAUUCAUGGGAGAACAUUUGAGGACAUUAGAAAGAAAAAAUUAGGAAUGGUGGCUCAUGCCUGUAAUCAAUUGCUGCCGUCAGGGGACUAAGGCAAAGAGUCGAAGACCUCCAUAAGUAUGCUGAGUAUGUAUAACCAAUUUAGAAAUUCCAAUAGGGAGAGCAAGCAGCAGGUUGUAGGCUCUAAAUUUUGAAAAAACAAAACAAACAAACAAAAAACAAACAAAAAACCCAAAACAACAACAACAACAAAAAAAGUGUGUGAAAUAGGUAGGAAAGGAGGUCUCAGGAUUCUGAAGGCUGGCCUCAACUGGUCCAAGACUGCUAACAGUUUACUGGGUUAGAAGAAGCUCUUCUAAUUCCAGGCCCUGGAAUGCAGGUAGAGCCUUAGAGAGAGCAUUCACAUUUGUAGCGUCUUUGUUUUUGUUCUAAGACAGGGUUUCAAGGCCCUCCCUGGCCUCGAAGGCUAUUUAAGGGAAAAUGACCCUGACCUCCUGACACUUUCCUAUCCACUUCCCAAGUACUGGAAUUCCAGGCAUGUUCCAUCUCCCCUGGUAUUGAAUUGGAGUCUUCUUUGUAAUCUUUACAGCUCCACACUCCUGAUCUGGUCACAAGGCAAAAACAAAGGGUAUUGGUUGUGUUUCUGUCCAUGAAAGAAUUCCAAUUGGAAAGAGCAUGGUUAUGGGAAACAAAGAUAGGAAGGAAGACUGAGUUUGUGAACAAGAACUCCUGUAAAGAAGAUGUAUCUGCAGAGACUGGCACUGAUUAGGACUUUAGUACUAAGGAGAGACUGGACCGCUGUGGGUCCAAAGGCUAGUAACCUUAUCUUGGGUCCUUUCCUUGGCCCGUUCUGUAUAGAACUAACAAUUUGUGAUGAGGAGACCUUUUAGAAUCUAUUAACUUAACAGACCAGAAGCUUCUACUCCUAACUAAAACUAAGAAUCUUAUCAGAUACUCUCUUGGCCCUAGAGAAAAGCUGCCACAUCUUGCUAUAAGUGUCUUUUAAAUGUACCCACCAGUGUAUUGAAACUUGCCUUGAUUUACGACUUUCUUAUUGUUGUUGUUCUAUGGAACUGUGAAACUGCUUGCAUCUUGGAACGUGAAAUUUGGGGUAGCCUAAAUCUGUGUUCCUCAUCCGUGGUCACUCAAAAUGGCUCCAGAAUAAACCAUCUCUCAUUCCCAGUAGGAUAAGGCACAAGAGAAGCACAAAGAACUUGGUAUCCAGCCCUUCGGCAAUUGCCAUUAGCAUCCCUAUGUGGGAGCAAGCAGAGGCAGGAACCAAGAGUAGAGGCUGAAUUUUUCCUUUUUAUCUAUUUUGCUUAUUUCUGAGCAACUUUCACCCCAGAGUCUAGACUUCAACAGGAAGAUAGUUUUGGCAUUUGAUUGCCUUUCGUAGUUUGGGUUGUGAAAUUUCCUGUGACAGACAGAACAACCCACCCUCUUCAAUUUUUUUGCAGCUAUAAACUUAAUUCCACUUAAGAACAAUUUUUUGAAAGCUCUUUUGUUUGAUCUGUGGUAGAAAAUUGUGGAAGUUUUUUGAGUUGAGAAUAAAACUUUACUGUGACUUCAAAAGAUAUAAUUAAGGGUGUGGGGCAUAGUAUUCUAACAAGCUUUGUCAAGCUGACACAGCUUAGAGAUACCCGAGUGGAGAGCCUCUACUGGGGAAUUGCCUAGAUCAGAACAGCCUGUGACACGCCAUCAUCUUGAUCAUUAAUUGACAAUAGGAGAGUCCGGCUCACUAUGGGAGGAAGGCACCAUUCCCUAGGCAGGUGGUCUGGAACUCUAUGAAAAGCUAGCUGAGUAUAAGUCACUCUGCAAAACAGCUGGCAAGCAACAUUCUCUCUGGUUCCUGCUGUGCUUCCUUGCCUCUGAGAUCUUUGGUGAGGGUAAUACUUUAUGGAAUAGAGAGCAGGUUGCCUUCAAGUUCCUGCCUUAACACCCUUAAUGAUGGACUGCGACUUGCAGUCACAAGCCAAAAAAACCUAUUUUUUAGGUUGCUUUUGUUCAGAGUUUUUUUUUUUUAUCACAGCAACAGAAAUAAAUCUAGAAUAUUAUAGCAACACAAAGUAGGUAAAAUUAGAAAAAGGGAAGGUGUAUAAGCCUCAAAAUGGCAAAAAAUAAGGUUGUAUUAGAGUAAGAGUCAUGAGUUCAGUGUUGAUGAUCCAUGGAUUCAUGUUUUUCAAACACCACUUAAAAAAUGCAGUAGGAAAUGAUAUAGUAUAUUGCAUGUAAAUAAACGGCAUAUUAUUCCAUGGACACUUCCCCCCAGUUAUGGGCAUUGUCAGCACACAUGUAUAUCUGAUGGACUUGCUAAUGAAAUUUAAAGUUAUCCUCCUGGAUUAAAAUUUAAACGUUUCAAAGAUGCUUCGUUGGCCAUUGCAGUGUACAAACUAGUUUUCUUUUUUUUUUUUAAUCUCAUUUAGUAAACAUUGGCAGCACAAAAAUAACACCAGAUAUCUCUUGAGGAAAUUUGUUGUAGUAGGAUGCCGUUACGUUACAUUGCGAGUGGUUUUUCCUUCCAUCCCUUAACUCCCAGAACAAUGACUCAUGAGCCUCAUUAAACAUUAUACAAAUACCUAGGCCAUAUAGCUAGGCUCUUCUCUGACUAGGUCAUAACUUAACAACCCAUUCAUACUAACCUACUUUCUGUCAUAUGGCUACCUGAGCUCAGGCACCAUGCAUCCAUCUUCCUCACAUCUUGCCAGAUGAAUCUUGCAUGCCUGGCUCUAUCCCAGAAUCCUUUCUGCCUACUGGAUGUUCCACCUUCUAUGUCCUGCCUAAGCUACAGGUUAUAUAAUAUAU